rnacentral:rRNA from 1 species
ACUGCUCAGUAACACGUAGUUAAUCUACUCUUAGGUCAUAGAUACCCUCGGGAAACUGAGGUUAAACCAAGAUAGGAGAUUUACCCUGGAAAGAUUAAUCUCUUAAAUUCGCGCCUAAGAAUGAGACUGCGGCUGAUUAGGUUGUUGGCGGAGUAAUAGCCCACCAAGCCAAAGAUCAGUAAGGGCUCUUAGCGGAGAGGCCCUGAGAGGGAAUCUGAGACACUAUUCCCAGCCCUACGGGGUGCAGCAGUUAGGAAUUUUCUUCAAUGCGCGCAAGCGUGAAAGAGUGAGCCAGAGUGUUUCUCACUGAGAAACUUUUGCCAAAUGCAAAAAGUUUGGCGAAUAAGGACUGGGUAAGACGGGUGCCAGCCGCCGCGGUAAUACCCGCGGUCCAAGUCGCAGCCAUCAUUAUUGGGUCUAAAACAUCCGUAGCUUGCUUGAUAAGUCUCUUGUGAAAUUCUACAUCUUCAAUGUAGAGCGUGCGAGAGAUACUGUUAAGCUAGAGACUGGGAGACGUAAUGAGUAUGUUUGAGGUAGUAGUGAAAUAUUUUAAUCUCAGACAGACUUACAAGAGCGAAGGCACGUUACGAGAACAGUUCUGACAGUGAGGGAUGAAGGCUAGGGGCGCAAAAGGGAUUAGAUACCCCUGUAGUCCUAGCAGUAAACACUGCACACUAAACAUUGGGACCUCCUCGAGAGGCUUCAGUGCUGAAGCGAAGGCGAAGAGUGUGCUACCUGGGAAGUAUAGUCGCAAGGCCGAAACUUAAAGGAAUUGGCGGGGGAGCAC